rnacentral:rRNA from 1 species
UACCAGCACCCCGAGUGGUCGGGACGUUUAUUGGGCCUAAAGCAUCCGUAGCCGGUUCUACAAGUCUUCCGUUAAAUCCAACUGCUUAACAGGUGGGCUGCGGAAGAUACUAUAGAGCUAGGAGGCGGGAGAGGCAAGCGGUACUCGAUGGGUAGGGGUAAAAUCCGUUGAUCCAUUGAAGACCACCAGUGGCGAAGGCGGCUUGCCAGAACGCGCUCGACGGUGAGGGAUGAAAGCAGGGGGAGCAAACCGG